UUUAUGGAGAGUUUGAUCCUGGCUCAGAGUGAACGCUGGCGGCGUGCCUAAUACAUGCAAGUCGAACGAUGAAGCUUCUAGCUUGCUAGAAUGCUGAUUAGUGGCGCACGGGUGAGUAACGCAUAGGUUAUGUGCCUCUUAGUUUGGGAUAGCCAUUGGAAACGAUGAUUAAUACCAGAUACUCCCUACGGGGGAAAGAUUUAUCGCUAAGAGAUCAGCCUAUGUCCUAUCAGCUUGUUGGUAAGGUAAUGGCUUACCAAGGCUAUGACGGGUAUCCGGCCUGAGAGGGUGAACGGACACACUGGAACUGAGACACGGUCCAGACUCCUACGGGAGGCAGCAGUAGGGAAUAUUGCUCAAUGGGGGAAACCCUGAAGCAGCAACGCCGCGUGGAGGAUGAAGGUUUUAGGAUUGUAAACUCCUUUUGUUAGAGAAGAUAAUGACGGUAUCUAACGAAUAAGCACCGGCUAACUCCGUGCCAGCAGCCGCGGUAAUACGGAGGGUGCAAGCGUUACUCGGAAUCACUGGGCGUAAAGAGCGCGUAGGCGGGAUAGUCAGUCAGGUGUGAAAUCCUAUGGCUUAACCAUAGAGCUGCAUUUGAAACUACUAUUCUAGAGUGUGGGAGAGGUAGGUGGAAUUCUUGGUGUAGGGGUAAAAUCCGUAGAGAUCAAGAGGAAUACUCAUUGCGAAGGCGACCUGCUGGAACAUUACUGACGCUGAUUGCGCGAAAGCGUGGGGAGCAAACAGGAUUAGAUACCCUGGUAGUCCACGCCCUAAACGAUGGAUGCUAGUUGUUGGAGGGCUUAGUCUCUCCAGUAAUGCAGCUAACGCAUUAAGCAUCCCGCCUGGGGAGUACGGUCGCAAGAUUAAAACUCAAAGGAAUAGACGGGGACCCGCACAAGCGGUGGAGCAUGUGGUUUAAUUCGAAGAUACACGAAGAACCUUACCUAGGCUUGACAUUGAGAGAAUCCGCUAGAAAUAGUGGAGUGUCUGGCUUGCUAGACCUUGAAAACAGGUGCUGCACGGCUGUCGUCAGCUCGUGUCGUGAGAUGUUGGGUUAAGUCCCGCAACGAGCGCAACCCCCUUUCUUAGUUGCUAACAGGUUAUGCUGAGAACUCUAAGGAUACUGCCUCCGUAAGGAGGAGGAAGGUGGGGACGACGUCAAGUCAUCAUGGCCCUUACGCCUAGGGCUACACACGUGCUACAAUGGGGUGCACAAAGAGAAGCAAUACUGCGAAGUGGAGCCAAUCUUCAAAACGCCUCUCAGUUCGGAUUGUAGGCUGCAACUCGCCUGCAUGAAGCUGGAAUCGCUAGUAAUCGCAAAUCAGCCAUGUUGCGGUGAAUACGUUCCCGGGUCUUGUACUCACCGCCCGUCACACCAUGGGAGUUGUGUUUGCCUUAAGUCAGGAUGCUAAAUUGGCUACUGCCCACGGCACACACAGCGACUGGGGUGAAGUCGUAACAAGGUAACCGUAGGUGAACCUGCGGUUGGAUCACCUCCUUU
rnacentral:rRNA from 1 species